UGACGCUAGAGACCUACAUCACGUGUUUCGGGAGACAUACGUCAUGUGAUCAGACGUCACGUGGCUACAUAUCGCUAGCUGGUGGCAAAGUAUGUUGCAGUGUGGUGUUACUAGUCUCAGCUACAGCUGGAUACCAGAGAAUGCUAGUGCUUGUAGUUCUACACAAGCAAAAUACCCCCUGCUUCAGAGCAAGCACAACGGCAAGCUGCUGCUGGAAGCCCGGACCAAUCCCCUUCUCAGCCCCCCUCCCCUUCUGUGGCCCAAUCCCCCUCUCCUUCCCAAUCCCCUUCUCAGCCCCCCUCCCCUUCUGUGGCCCAAUCCCCCUCUCCUUCCCAAUCCCCUUCUCUGCCCCCCUCCCCUUCUGUGGCCCAAUCCCCCUCUCCUUCCCAAUCCCCUUCUCUGCCCCCCUCCCCUUCUGUGGCCCAAUCCCCCUCUCCUUCCCCCUCCCCUUCUCUGCCCCCCUCCCCCUCUCUUUACCAAUACCCCUCUCUGUCCCCCUCCCCCUCUGUAGGCCAAACCACCACUCCGCCCACCUCCCCCUCUCUUUCCCAUUCCCCCUCUCUGGCCCCCUCCCCCUCUGUGGCCCAAACACCCUCUCCGCCCCCCUCCCCCUCUCAAUCAGACCCACCCUCUGUAAACACCUCCCCAUUCCAUCCUCCUUCCCCAAUCCCUCCUCCUUCCCCAAUCCAUCCUCCUUCCCCCAUCCAGCCUCCUUCCCCAAUCCCUCCUACUUCCCCAAUCCAUCCUCCUUCCCCCAUCCAGCCUCCUUCCCCCAUCCAGCCUCCUUCCCCACCCAGUGAAUGGGCAGCAGAAGCCCCUGCGGAUCUUCAGGGUACUGCGCAUGUGGCAGAUGAGAAUGGUGCAGUUGGAGAUCCCACAAGCCUGUCUGGCAUCCUUGCUAGCCUAAAGGCAAAUUUGCAGGCCAUGCUGGCCGAUGUUGACCGGCUGCAACAAUUUUUUUAAUUUAAAACUAUUUUUUAUU